CCCAGUGAUCGGAGUGAUCAUCAGUUAGACUUGUUGUUUACCCAUGUCAAGCCCCGUCAGACAACUAUUGAAUAUUAAGUAAAUAUGGUAAAUAUAUACGAGCAAACAUAAAUUUCUUGCGAAACAUGUCAGCAGAUCAGUCGGCGAUCGCCGGAGAGGAAACGGCUUUCUUUGGCGCAUACCUACGCCCGAUUUCGCAAUCCAAUCAAUCUGAUCAUAAUCGCAUUGUCUAUGGAUUGGGGGAAAUCGCUCCUACCUAGAAGAAUUGCGGUCGUUCCUAUUGAUCAUCGGAUUGUUUUUGCUCAUUUCCUGGGUCCCGGACAAUGGCAGAAGUCUGGAAUAAUUAACAGCCGUAACCGAUUCGGAAUCACAAAUGGCAAGUAGCAAAUAGCAAAUGGCAAAUAGCAAAUGGCAAUAGCACCGCUCCCCUCUUCAGACACUUCCUACCGAUCGCGAUGAAGUGAGUGAGCGGGGAAAACUUGAAUCCAUUCAGGCGGCCGCCAUUCAUCGAUCGUAAUAAAUAACUGAAUUAAUGUGACUGCCUUUGGACAAUAAAUUACUGAGUUUACUGUUCAACUCACUGUAAAAAGUGCUAAAAUUACGCGAGUAAUAAAAACAUUAGCUAUUCGCUAUCUAUAAAACCAAUCAUUUAAAUAAUGCGGAACUCUCGCCCAUUUGCAGAAUGUCAUCAGAUGAAAAUCCGCGAUGAAUCAUUGUGAUAAGUCUGGAUGUGCUAAUGGGAAUCCUCAUCGCUCUUUUUCGUAUUUUUGGAAAAAAUAUAACGAUAUAUUUAUGAAUAUUUGCAAGCACUCAUACAAUAAAUCUCAACAUUAGUCAUUUAUGUUAAAAUUAUAAGAAAAACAAAUACACUUCUAGCCCCAAAUUCCUAGAACUGAUACCCAACUAAGUGCCUACAAGGCCGAAGGACUUCAGUUUCCAGUGCCAUUUUCUUUUCCAUUAAUUAUAGUAUUAUAUACUAGUUUUAAUUUUAAAAAAAAAAAAAAUAUGUGCCUACUAUAUUUUAUAGAAUUUUGUCUACAUAACUCGAAUAUUUAUAUUCCUCGUUCUUCUUAAUGUUUGCCACUUAUUGCAGGAAACACUUUUUAUUACCAUUUUUAAUACCAAUUAUCAGAAUUCAUACUGAAGAUUACUUUUAAAGCUAUUUUUUUAUUUUCUGAUUUCUUUUUUAAAUUAAUUUUUAUGGGUUUGUCAUUAUAAAGAUGAUUUUUAAGAGUUUUUUUAUGGUUUGCUGAAUUGAUUAUAAUUUUUUGACAAUGGAAUUUUUCGAAACUCAUAUAUUUGCACAAUCUCAAAAUAAAAAAACCCAAAAUAAAAUAAUAAUGAUCAAGUACAUUGAAAUUGAUAUAUUUUGGCCGCCAAAACAGAAUGUCUAAAUUUAUAAUUUCGUUCGGUGCAUGAUGAUCGCUGGUGCAAAUGUAGGUCAGAAUGUGACUGAAAUAUUCCGGCCACGGCAUUAUCAUCUCAGCCCGCUUCACGCCCAACAAUCACAUCGAUUUAUAGUUUAUAGUAAAUUCCUGCACUUCAAAUCCGAGUCCGAAUCUGAUGCAUUGCGAUUAGUCGGGAGGCGAGGCCUGGAUUUUGGGGUCGCCCUCCCGUUUUCGAUUAGAUUGUGGAGCGGAGCCCCCGAUUGCAUCAGGUUAACC